ACGAACGCUGGCGGCGUGCCUCAUACAUGCAAGUAGAACGCUGAAGGAGGAGCUUGCUUCUCCGGAUGAGUUGCGAACGGGUGAGUAACGCGUAGGUAACCUGCCUGGUAGCGGGGGAUAACUAUUGGAAACGAUAGCUAAUACCGCAUAACAGUAGAUAUCGCAUGAUAUCUGCUUGAAAGGUGCAAUUGCAUCACUACCAGAUGGACCUGCGUUGUAUUAGCUAGUUGGUGAGGUAACGGCUCACCAAGGCGACGAUACAUAGCCGACCUGAGAGGGUGAUCGGCCACACUGGGACUGAGACACGGCCCAGACUCCUACGGGAGGCAGCAGUAGGGAAUCUUCGGCAAUGGACGGAAGUCUGACCGAGCAACGCCGCGUGAGUGAAGAAGGUUUUCGGAUCGUAAAGCUCUGUUGUAAGAGAAGAACGAGUGUGAGAGUGGAAAGUUCACACUGUGACGGUAUCUUACCAGAAAGGGACGGCUAACUACGUG
rnacentral:rRNA from 1 species